rnacentral:rRNA from 1 species
UACGUAGGCUGCAAGCGUUGUCCGGAAUUAUUGGGCGUAAAGAGCUCGUAGGCGGUUUGUUGCGUCGGCUGUGAAAUCCCGAGGCUCAACCUCGGGUCUGCAGUCGAUACGAGCAAACUAGAGUGUUGCAGGGGAGACUGGAAUUCCUGGUGUAGCGGUGAAAUGCGCAGAUAUCAGGAGGAACACCGGUGGCGAAGGCGGGUCUCUGGGCCGAUACUGACGCUGAGGAGCGAAAGCGUGGGGAGCGAACAGG